rnacentral:rRNA from 1 species
UUGAACGCUGGCGGCAUGCCUUACACAUGCAAGUCGAACGGCAGCACGGGAGCAAUCCUGGUGGCGAGUGGCGAACGGGUGAGUAAUAUAUCGGAACGUGCCCAGUCGUGGGGGAUAACGCAGCGAAAGCUGUGCUAAUACCGCAUACGAUCUAUGGAUGAAAGCGGGGGAUCGCAAGACCUCGCGCGAUUGGAGCGGCCGAUAUCAGAUUAGCUAGUUGGUGGGUAAAGGCUCACCAAGGCGACGAUCUGUAGCUGGUCUGAGAGGACGACCAGCCACACUGGAACUGAGACACGGUCCAGACUCCUACGGGAGGCAGCAGUGGGGAAUAUUGGUCAAUGGGCGAAAGCCUGAACCAGCCAUGUCGCGUGAAGGAUGAAGGUCCUAUGGAUUGUAAACUUCUUUUGCAGGAGGGUAAAGUGAGCUACGUGUAGUUCAUUGCAAGUACCCUGCGAAUAAGCAUCGGCUAACUCCGUG